GGUGUGUGUUGGGGCGGGGUUUGAUUUUACCAUUGUUAGCUAAGGGCAAGGCAAAUGGUUGGCCAAUGUUUUCCAGCCCACGAAGAGCCUGGCCAGCAAACCAACUGAAACCCCCCUGAGGUGUCAGAGAUGAGACAAAACACUGGAUCCACGCCCGGCUCAAGACAAGGCAUUUUACUGGGACGGGCGCGGGGCAGUGGGGGCUGACUCCUCUCCCACCUGUCUCCUCUUCCCUCUCUUCCUCCCUCAGGCCCUCUCCAUUGCUCUCCAGUGGGGGCUUCUCUCCCCAGUGCCUCUUUGUUUCUUUUUUCCUGAUUCGGUCUCAGACUCUGCUCUGCUUUGUUUAUCAGCCCUCAGUCCCGCAUCACUGAGACUCUGUCACCAUCUCACUUUUUUGCCUCUUCACAUUCUCUGGAUCCCUAUAUAUGCUUUGUUUCUCGUUGUCACCGUCAGAGAGGUGAUGGGUGCCUCUGACUCGAUCUGUUUUUCUGUCUGUCCAUUUGUCCAUGUUCCCAGAGGCCCUUUAACUCUGUAACAGAGUGCCUUUUCUGAGAACGGAGCCUGGGACAGCCACCCAACGUGUGGAGUAGAGGUGGCUAAGGACAUUUCCAGCCCAGAAGUCGUCAUGGUAACAGCCAGGGCGGGCCAGGCAGAGGAUGUGCCGAACCACGUGGGCUUGACCUUUCUGUGGGUGUCGCAUUUGAGCGGGAGCUGGGGGAAAAACAGCAACGACUGCUUCCCUCUGGCCCAGCCCUCGGCCUUCCAGGCUGGGCUGAAAGAAGAGAGGGAGAGAGGAGAACUGGGACAGCUGGCCACAGGGUGAGAGGAGAGACAGUCAGCCAGAGCCAUCUAGAGGAACGGCGGGAGAGAGGGGGGCGAGCUCAGGCACACACACACAGCUGCGGGCCGUCACCAAGACUCCCGUUGUGAACUGACCUGUGGAGGGCACCAGACAUCCUUCCUGGAGGCUCUGCUCGCGCUUCCCCAGCCGGGGCUCUGGACCCAGGGGGUUCCUCUCUCCAUACCCGUGGCCUCCACCUCAUGCCCAAGCAGGACAAGUGCAGGCAGCACAGAAUGGCGCAGCCCAUGUGAAGGAACGCAGCACCAUUCCAGACUGUACAACUGGUCUAGUUCCGGCUUUGAGAUCCAGGUCGGUAGCCAAAGCCCCGGGGUUAACUGUGGCCUUACCUUUGCUGUUCUUUCCUUCACCCUCAGGCGCCCCUUCCUCCCUGGCUCUGUUACUUGUGACUUCUGUGAUUUGGAGGAAUCAGCCUCUCUGGGUGGGUUUGCUCACCUGUAAACAAGAUAAUGAC
rnacentral:lncRNA from 1 species